UCAUUCCUCAGUAGGCUCUGAAAGGAUAAUUCAAACAAGAUUUGUUUAGUUUUGCUUCAUACUUCUUCAGCACAAUAAUAUGCCUUUUUACUAGAUUAGCAAGCAUUCCUUGCUCUUCUGGUAUUAAUAACAUUCCCUAUUCAAUUCCAGUUAUCUCUGUCAAUCUCCAGCUUUUUGAUCGCACUCAGAGACUUUUUCAUAAUUCCUGGCGGGGCACUGCUUUCAAUUCCCUCCCCAUGGAAGUUAUACUGUGCGCAUAGGAUUCUGUGACACAAAAUAUAGAUGUUAACACUUUUAUCUGCACUGUAGAUAAAACUGCAGAUCUGACAAGAUCAGGUAUAAUAACUAUAAAAUUUUUUAAAUUGCUUAUCAUUGUUUACAAAAGGAAGUGUGUGCUUACAGGAUUCAUAAUUCACAUUACAUGAGAAGGACAUACAAAGUGGAUGCAGUGUGAAAUAAUCAGGUUUUAUUCCUUUAUGCUUAAUAAAUAUGUUUUAGAAAUACUUUGACUUUUAAGUAGGCCAUUUUGUAUACUGUGUUUAGGAGAAAUGAAUGAAAAUCAAAAGGUGGCAUCUCUGCAUCUCUGAAGUUCUGAGGGGAAAUGAUAUGGAGAACACUCUUCUAGCUUGGUUUUUGUGAAAACCUUGAAGAUGAAGAUCUAACUUGAGACAGCCACUCUGAAAACCCAGAAAGACUUCUGAUGGAAGUGUUAAAGAAAAAAACCUCAGUCUCCUUUUCCAAGCCUGCCGGCCUUUCUGGGCAGCCUGCCCACAGUAGAGGAUCCUUGUUUAUCCCAAGGAGGGCAAAACAGAGCAAAGAGAGGAGUCUUGUCUAACAUCCUCAGCUUUCCGGGGCAGCCGCAGG
rnacentral:lncRNA from 1 species